rnacentral:lncRNA from 1 species
GGAUCUGCAAUUGUAUUCCUGUUUCAAGCCCCGUUUUCUUGCAGCUCUUCGGCACUGCAAACCUAACCGCUAAUGGCGCUGUGGGUGGAGAAACGUUUGUUAGGUAGCGUUAUAUAUUGUUAUCUGGUGUUCCCUAUACCGAAAACGGCGGGUCCUGGCCGCCGGGAGGUACUCAGACCAGGUGUGCACUUUACAUGUUGCUUAAAAAUUGCAACUCAUUCCUUUACAUUGACAUUUAAACCAGUGAUUCUAAGGCAGAGUUGGGGCGGAGGGAGGAGAAUUUUGAACAAGCGGAGCCAAUUUUCGUCUCAUUUCUAAUUACAGGCAACAACAGAAUUCUGCGAAACUUGGUUGGUUGGAGGAGCACACCAAAAAUAAAGUACCGGAGCCGGCACGGCUUCAAAAAAAUUAGGAUCAGUACCGCUAGUAGCGAACGCAUAAGAAGGGCUUCCUGUAUGCCUGCGUAUCUUGUUUAAGCCUAAAGAUAUGUACUCUCUUUAUCCUCUUUUUUUGAGACGAGGAAGUAGACCCAGCAUGCCCGAGAUCACACAUUUUACAAGGAAGAAGUAGGAUCCAGACCCAGGGAGUUUAACUUCAAAACUUGAACGUUUAACAAUCAGGUCUUGCUGCCCUACUCAUAAAGAGACCCAAAUAAAAACAACAUGACGCCAUUUUUUUCCAUGUGUUUAGACUGGCAAACUUGUGAAGUCGCUUAAUACCAAAUGUGUACCAAGAUGUAAGGAAAUGAUGUGAGAAUGUCAUUAGUAUAACCUUUUAGGAGGAGUAAUUUGACAAUAUGAGAGGCUUGAGCGGAUUGAUUCAGCAAUUUCACCACUAAGAAAGUAUGCAACAAUUAUUUUUGCACCAAUAUCCAAAGAUUUACUACAAAGAUUUCUGGCAGCAAUUUUUGUGUGUGUGUGGCAAGAAAAAAAAAAGCAUUCUAAUUGUCCAUCGAUAGAGGAACUUAAAGUAUGGAAUAUUAAUACAAUGGCAUAUUACCCUUUUUAAAAAAAGUAAAUUGUAUCUGAAUAUGCUGAUAUAUAAAUACCUCCAAAAGGUAUUGAGUUUUAAACAAAGCAACUUGCAGAAUUAAACAUAUGCGUACGUAUACAGAGAGAGAAGAGAGAGGGAUGGUAUUUGUUUGCGUCCGUGUGUGUGUGUGUGUGUGUGUGUGUGUGUGUGUGUGUUUGCGCAGAACAUUCCUGGAGGAUAUGCAAGAAACUGUUAAUGAUUACCUCUGGUGGGUGAGCCUAGGAAGGAAAGCUUCUGAGGAUCUUUACUUUCCACAUUUAGCUUCCCUGUACUGUGCUGUUUGAAUAUUUUUCCAAUGAAUGUAUACUAUAAUUAUAGUAUUAUAACAGUACAAGAUUAUAACAGUACAAGAUUACUAUAAAAUUAAUUACAAAUAAAAGCUGAGAAUCACUUUUGCACCUAAACCUUUUGAAUUUAGGGGUGAAAGUCACAGGAGAGACUGGAAAGGGAGGAAGAAAAGAAAAACAUUUUUCUCUUUGCUUCCAUGAAGCCACAAAGUGCUUUGAAUAGUGCCUGGCAUAAAGUAAGCCCUAUAUAAACGCUAAUGCUGUUAGUUUUUCUCCUACCUCUUUCACUACUUCUCCUCAGUCUUCUUCCCUUCUAGCUGACCUCUAACUUUAGAGUUCCUCAUAUUUUGGCCAGUGAGGAGAAUCCUGUUUAUUCCUGUGGCUUUAAAUAACAUCUGUGUAUCUAUAAUUCUCAAAUUGAAAUCCAAGUCCUGACCUUACCCCUGUGCUCCAGACUCAUGUCUACCCGCUGAUUUGUCAUCUCAUUUUAAUGGUUCAUACACAUCUUAAAUUUAACACAUCCAAACCCUUGAUCUCACCGCCUUCCCCAAACUUCUUUGGGUCUUCUCCGUGUCAAUCAAUGGCAUCACCAUCCAGUCCAAAACCUAGAGUUCAGCCUUAGUUCCUCCCUCUCCUUUACCUCUCAUACCAACAGCAAGUCCUACUGUUUUUACCCCCAAAUACAUCUUGAAUCUAUGUUCUUUCCUGCUUUACUGCAUACUCCCUAGGCCAGAACACUAUGAUUGCUUCUCAGAACUACUGCAGUAGUCUUCCAUGCUUCUGUUCCAUUCUUGCUCCUUACAAUCUCUUCAUACUGUUGCCAGAGAGAUUUUUAAAAAAUACAUAAAUCAUAUCAUGUCUCACCCCUGCUAUAUCAAUUAUAUGCUUUCAAUGCAAAUAACUGAAACCUCAGCUAAAAGAAACCUAAACUAUAAGGACAUUUAUUGUGUAUGUAACAAAAAGAAUGAUCCCAGGAUAGGCUUAGCAGUUUGAAGAUGUCAUUAAAUAUUCAGGUUCAGGCCAGGCGUGGUAGCCUACACCUGUAAUCCCAGCACUUUGUGAGGCCAAGGCGGGUGGAUCACUUGAGGCCAGGAGUUCGAGACUAGCCUGGCCAACAUGGCAAAACCCCGUCUCUACUGAAAAUACAAAAAUUAGGCAGACCUGGUGGUGCAUGCCUGUAAUCCCAGCUACCCGGGAGGUGGAGGUUGCAGUGAGCUGAGAUCACAGCAUUGUACUCCACCUGGGUGACAGAGCGAGACUGUGUCGCAAAAGAAAGAAAGGAAAGGAAGGGAAAGGAAAAGGAGGGGAGGGGAGGGGAGGGGAAGGGAAGGGAAGGAAAGGAAAAGGAAAGGAAGAUUCAGGUUCUUUCAAUCCCUAUCCCUCCUCCCCAGCAUCCUAAAUCUGUUUACUUUCAUCUUCAGGCUUCUUACAUCAUGGUUGCAGGAUGGCUGCUACAGCUCUGGACAUCACAUCAAAAUAUGGCAGAAGCUAAAGCAGGAAGACAGAGAAGGAGGCAAAACAGCUUUAUUCACUUGUGGCUCUCAUAUGAAGAAUAAAGAUAUUUCUCGA